rnacentral:rRNA from 1 species
UACGGAGGGGGCUAGCGUUGUUCGGAAUUACUGGGCGUAAAGCGCACGUAGGCGGCUUUGCAAGUCAGAGGUGAAAGCCCGGGGCUCAACCCCGGAAUUGCCUUUGAGACUGCAUCGCUAGAAUUGUGGAGAGGUAAGUGGAAUUCCGAGUGUAGAGGUGAAAUUGGUAGAUAUUCGGAAGAACACCAGUGGCGAAGGCGACUUACUGGACACAUAUUGACGCUGAGGUGCGAAAGCGUGGGGAGCAAACAGG